GUAACUCGGAAGGUUGUUGGUUCGAAUCCUGAGCUGCACUGAAAAAUGGGAGGAUCUGGCGACUAAAAGCCUUUCUGUUCGUCAGAUUGAGUCUUUUAGACCUGGCCAGAUUGUUCCAUUCUGCUUUACAUUACACUGUGAUGUUACCUGAUUAAACUGUGGAUGUGGACCUGGCCAGAUUGUUCCAUUCUGCCAUUUAGCUGGCGAGGCCACGUCAGCCAACUACCAGCACAGGCAGUGUACGCCUCCCCACUGUCAAUUAUUCUGUUGUCCUCUAGCUGGAGCAGGACUCUACCCGCUCUAUGUAGAGCUGUCUCAGUAUCUGCUGUGUGUGUAUUCUAGGUGGAGCAGGACUCUACCCGCUCUAUGUAGAGCUGUCUCAGUAUCUGCUGUGUGUGUAUUAUAGGUGAGGCUGGACUCUACCCGCUCUAUGUAGAGCUGUCUCAGUAUCUG
ensembl:lncRNA